AUUGAACGCUGGCGGCAGGCUUAACACAUGCAAGUCGAGCGAGCGGCGGACGGGUUACUAAUGUCUGUGAAACUGCCUGAUGGAGGGGGAUCACUACUGGAAACGGUAGCUAAUACCGCCUACCAUCAGCUCUGCCCAGUUUGGAUUAGCUAGUAGGUGGGGGAAUGGCUCACCUAGGCGACGAUCCCUAGCUGGUCUGAGAGGAUGACCAGCCACACUGGAACUGAGACACGGUCCAGACUCCUACGGGAGGCAGCAGUGGGGAAUAUUGCACAAGGGGCGAAAGCCUGAUGCAGCCAUGCCGCGUGUGUGAAGAAGGCCUUCGGGUUGUAAAGCACUUUCAGCGAGGAGGCGUUACUCGCAGAAGAAGCACCGGCUAACUCCGUGCCAGCAGCCGCGGUAAUAC
rnacentral:rRNA from 1 species